UGGUAACGACGUCGUUUCAAAUCUCCUUCAAAUUCUAAAAAGACCAAAAUUGGCCCUCUAGUUUCCAAUUCCGGCACCGGAAACAACUCCAAUCACAACGCCGACUAGAAACAGAAGCCCCCGGCGAGCUGCUCCCUCCUAAAAAAAACACCUCUGUGCUGUAUAAACUACCUUGUAAUGAACCGUGCGCGUUCAUACAUUUCCUUGGGGCUGCUUAAGAAGUCCAGCUAUGUCAGUUCCCAUAUUCCAUGGAAUCGAUGCUUCUAUAUGCCUUCAAAAUACAGUUUAAAGCCUUCAUGUGUGACUGCACUUGGACUGUCUAGUGUUCAUUGCUAUUCUACAAGAUCAAAGACUGCCAAAUCAAAGAUUUCAACCGCUGUUUCUGUUUCGGAUUCGGAUAAAGAGAAAGACGCCUUUUUCGUUGUUCGGAAGGGUGACAUUAUUGGAAUUUAUAAGGAUUUGAUUGAUUGUCAAGCUCAAGUUGGAUCUUCGGUAUAUGAUCUUCCAGUUAGCGUUUAUAAGGGUAAGGGAUACUCGUUGCUUAAAGACACGACGGAGGAGUAUCUUUCUAGUGUUGGGCUGAAGAAACCAC